AAUAGAUACCCGGGUAGUCCACCCCGUAAACGUUGGAACUAGUUGUGGGGUCCUUUCCACGGAUUCCGUGACGCAGCUAACGCAUUAAGUUCCCCGCCUGGGGAGUACGGCCGCAAGGCUAAAACUCAAAGGAAUUGACGGGGACCCGCACAAGCGGCGGAGCAUGCGGAUUAAUUCGAUGCAACGCGAAGAACCUUACCAAGGCUUGACAUACACCAGAACACCCUAGAAAUAGGGGACUCUUUGGACACUGGUGAACAGGUGGUGCAUGGUUGUCGUCAGCUCGUGUCGUGAGAUGUUGGGUUAAGUCCCGCAACGAGCGCAACCCUCGUUCUAUGUUGCCAGCACGUAAUGGUGGGAACUCAUGGGAUACUGCCGGGGUCAACUCGGAGGAAGGUGGGGAUGACGUCAAAUCAUCGAUGCCCCUUAUGUCUUGGGCUUCACGCAUGCUACAAUGACCGGUACAAAGGGCUGCAAUACCGUGAGGUGGAGCGAAUCCCAAAAAGCCGGUCCAGUUCGGAUUGAGGUCUGCAACUCGACCUCAUG
rnacentral:rRNA from 1 species